UACGAAGGGGGCUAGCGUUGCUCGGAAUCACUGGGCGUAAAGCGCACGUAGGCGGCUUCUUAAGUCAGGGGUGAAAUCCUGGAGCUCAACUCCAGAACUGCCUUUGAUACUGAGAAGCUUGAGUCCGGGAGAGGUGAGUGGAACUGCGAGUGUAGAGGUGAAAUUCGUAGAUAUUCGCAAGAACACCAGGGGCGAAGGCGGCUCACUGGCCCGGUACUGACGCUGAGGUGCGAAAGCGUGGGGAGCAAACAGG
rnacentral:rRNA from 1 species